AUUGAACGCUGGCGGCAUGCCUUACACAUGCAAGUCGAACGGUAACGGGUCCUUCGGGAUGCCGACGAGUGGCGAACGGGUGAGUAAUAUAUCGGAACGUGCCCAGUAGUGGGGGAUAACUGCUCGAAAGAGCAGCUAAUACCGCAUACGACCUGAGGGUGAAAGGGGGGGAUCGCAAGACCUCUCGCUAUUGGAGCGGCCGAUAUCAGAUUAGCUAGUUGGUGGGGUAAAGGCCUACCAAGGCAACGAUCUGUAGUUGGUCUGAGGACGACCAGCCACACUGGGACUGAGACACGGCCCAGACUCCUACGGGAGGCAGCAGUGGGGAAUUUUGGACAAUGGGCGCAAGCCUGAUCCAGCAAUGCCGCGUGCAGGAAGAAGGCCUUCGGGUUGUAAACUGCUUUUGUCAGGGAAGAAAUCUUCUGGGCUAAUACCCCGGGAGGAUGACGGUACCUGAAGAAUAAGCACCGGCUAACUACGUGCCAGCCGCCGCUGUAGUAC
rnacentral:rRNA from 1 species